rnacentral:rRNA from 1 species
UACGUAGGGUGCGAGCGUUGUCCGGAAUUAUUGGGCGUAAAGAGCUUGUAGGCGGUCUGUCGCGUCUGCUGUGAAAAUCCGGGGCUCAACCCCGGACCUGCAGUGGGUACGGGCAGACUAGAGUGCGGUAGGGGAGACUGGAAUUCCUGGUGUAGCGGUGGAAUGCGCAGAUAUCAGGAGGAACACCGGUGGCGAAGGCGGGUCUCUGGGCCGGUACUGACGCUGAGGAGCGAAAGCGUGGGGAGCGAACAGG